GCGAUAUAAGGCGCCGCGCGGGCUCGGGGUCCAGCGCCCGUCCGGUCCCGCCGCCGCGCCUUGUCCUGCCGCUCAGCCCGCCUCGGCGCCCCCUGCGCGCCCCGGCCUGGCAGCGGCUGCAUCAGGGCCGCCCCCUACCGCGGCAUCUCCUGCUACCGCGGCCCCGCUGCGUCUGCGGGGGCUUCCGGGCCGGCUCCUGCGGCCGCAGCUUCGGAUACCGCUCCGGCGAAGUGCGCGCACCCAGCUCUCCCUGCAUCACCACCGUGUCAGUCAACGAGAGCCUCCUGGCGCCCCUCAACCUGGAGAUCGACCCCAACGCGCAGAGCGUGAAGCACGAGGAGAAGGAGUAGGUCAAGUGCCUCAACAACGGGUUCGCUGCCUUCAUCGACAAGCAGGUGCGCUUCCUGGAGCAGCAGAACAAGCUGCUGGAGGCCAAGUGGAGGUUCUACCAGAAGCCGCUGUGGCCGGAUGCCAAGUGCGUGGAGGCCGACAGCGGGAGGCUGACCUUGGAGCUCAACCACGUGCAGGAGGUGCUGGGGAACUACAAGAAGAGGUAUGAAGAGGAGGUGGCACUAAAGGCCACCACUGAGAAUGAAUUUGUGGCUCUGAAGAAGAUAAGUGACCCCAGAAUCCUUGUCCCACACCUCAGAACUGAGGGCAGAAGCAGGAGGGAGCUCUCUGUAAUUCAGAGAGGCUGAGGGACUCCCCCAGAGUCACACAGCACCACCUCUUCCCUAUUCCUUUCCCCAAAUGCCGCAGUGCUCCCUGAGCUGCCCCAGACCUCAGAGUACUCUCCCGCUUCAAGCAGGGCAGUCUUCUCCCCAUCCAGGGUAACUCCCAUCUGGCCAUGGGCCUCCUGCCUCCUGCCCUGUGUGUGGCAGAGAGAAGGCACUCCGUGAAUGCGGGUGGAUGACAGUACGUGACUGCCAGAGGCUGGCUGCAUCCUCGGGCCGGCAACAGGUGGGAAGUGCUGGCGUGAACGAGGCCGUUGUUCCUCACCUCUCGGACUUCCGUCUGCACAGGCGCCAGCAUGGGGACGCUCACCAGGUCCUUCCAGCCACCUCCAUAUGAGGAAGGCAGGGGUUACCAUGGAGAAACUGAGGCACAGAGGUCCAGGGUCUUGCCCUGAAUUGCACUGAGACCUCUUCUGACCACAGAUCUAGAUUUCUUUCCAUGAGAUUCCAGAGCAGAGAGGGUGGGGCAUCACUGGAAUAGACCCAUUUUACAGGAGAUCCUAAGUUUCAGUGAUAGUUCUAGAUGUGGAUUCCAGAGGAGUCAUUCCAGUGGGAAUCAGAGGAAGUGCCUGGAACCCUCAGGAUCCCCCUCUGUUGCCCAAACCUGCUCCUCACGGCAUAAAGGACCUCACCAAUGCCAUGGUACCAGGCACUGGGCUGAGCAGCUAAGAAGGGUGUCUGGGGAGUGUGCCCAGCCCAGUGAGGUGUCCCUCGCUGGUGGGGAGAGCUCUAAGUUGUCACUCCAGUGAGACCCCUGGGCCGCCUUCUCCCCUUUAGGACGUGGACUGCGCCUACCUGCACAAAUCAGACCUGGAGACCAACGCGGAGGCCCCGGUCCAGGAGAUCGACUUCCUGCGGCGACUGUAUGAGGAGGAGCUCCAGAUCCUCCACGCCCACAUCUCAGACACCUCGGGCAUCGUCAAGAUGGACAACAGCCGGGAACUGAACAUGGACAACAUCCUGGCCAAGAUCAAGGCCCAGUACGAUGACAUCGCCAGCGGCAGCCAGGCCGAGGCCGAGUCCUUGUACCGCAGCAAGUGCGAGGAGAUAAAGGCCACGGUGGUCUGGCACGGGGAGACCCUGCGCCGCACCAAGGAGGAGAUCAACGAGCUGAACCGCGUGAUCCAGAGGCUGACCGCCGAGGUCGAGAAUGCCGAGUGCCAGGAACUCGAAGCUGGAGGGGGCCAUAAGCCAGGCUGAGCAGCAGAGCGAGGCGGCCCUCACUGACGCCGGCUGCAGGCUGGCUGGGCUGGAGGAGGCCCUGCAGAAGGCCAAGCAGGACAUGGCCUGCCUGCUCAGGGAGUACCAGGAGGUGAUGAACGCCAAGCUGGGCCUGGACUCGGAGAUCACCACCUACAGGCGCCUGCUGGAGGGUGAGGGGCAGAGGUUGUGUGAGGGCGUUGGUGCUAUAAAGUGACCAGUGACCCGUACUGUGGGUUCUGAAAUAAGGGCUUGAGAUGGGCAAACUUUUUCUUAAAGGGCAGAUAGCAAAUAUUUUAGGCUUGUGGGCCAUGCAGCCUCUGUCUCAACUCUUCAGCUUGGUCCAUGUGAUGUGAAAGCAGCCACAGCCAUAAGCAAUACUUAACAAAUAGGUAUCACUGGGUUCCAACAAAACUGUAUUUACAAAAACAGGAGGCCGGCGUGUGCGGCCAUAGUUGGAAGACCCUAAAAGGAAGGAGGGGGUGUGGCAGUGAAUGAUUGUAACUUAAAAUUGCUAUUUCUGCCUAUAGGGAGGGUCUGGGCUAAGAGUUUAUCAAAGAUGCUUGAAGUUAAACUGCAGGAAGGAGUGCUCAGGUGUGAGGAUUUUGGGGGAGCUGGGAAAUAGAAAUGGAGGGGUGGAGCUCUGAGCGAGAGAAGAGGGCUCUGGGCCAGCAAGCAGGGGCCGCAUGCCACGACCUCACAUGAGAACUAAGCCCUGUCUUCCACCUGCAGGUGUCAGCAGCUCCCAGGCCGGGGUCGUCUGCGGGGACCUCUGCGUAUCGGGCUCCCGGCCCUGCACCGGGAACGUGGCGGUGAGCGCCGGCCUGUGCGCCCCCUGCGCGCCCGCCCGGUGCGCGCCCCCGGAACACAGCUGCGGCCGCGGCCGCCUGGUGCGGUUUGCGUAGCGCCUCCGGCUUCGUAAAUACCCGGCUCCGCGAGCGAACUGUCCCCGCCUGCGGCGGCGGCCCCGGACCUCCCAGAGGCCCUGACUUGAGGCCGAAGGGCUGCGGGAACCGGCCGGCCCGACCUGACCAAACUGCGGCUUCUCUCCUUGCCUCUCCCCGCUUCGUCUCUUCGUUUCUUCCGGGGAGGCCGGGCUCCUCGGCCGCAUGUCUAGCAGCUCCCCCCACCCCUAAGAGUCUAAACGACUGGUUUCCUCGCAGCCCUGGGCAAAGAUCCAACCUCGGGCUGCCCUGGGGACUCAGACGCGUGUGGCUUCUAAGGGACAGCCUGACCCCAGGGACCCUCGUGGUGGACGCUGCGGCGCGGUGCCUCCUCUGCCUUCUGAACCCUCUGAGGUUGCGUUGCCAAGUACGGACGACCUUCCGCUGCUGCCUCCGCUCCCCUCGUGCUGGGUCUCCACUUUCUAAUAAAGGUCAUGGGUCAU
rnacentral:lncRNA from 1 species